rnacentral:misc_RNA from 1 species
GAUGAAGAACGUAGCGAAAUGCGAUAAGUAAUGUGAAUUGCAGAAUUCAGUGAAUCAUCGAAUCUUUGAACGCACCUUGCGCUCUUUGGUAUUCCGAAGAGCAUGCCUGUUUGAGUGUCAUGAAAAUAUCAACCUUGACUUGGGUUUUGUGCUCUAGUCUCGGCUUGGAAUUGGGUGCUUGCCGCUUUUACGAGCGGCUCACCUUAAAUGUAUUAGCUGGAUCUGUCUUUGAGACUUGGUUUGACUUGGCGUAAUAAGUAUUUCGCUAAGGACAUUCUUCGGAGUGGCCUCGUUUCUAGGUCGCUUGUCCGCUUUCCAAUACAAGUUCCACCUCGUGGACAUGACUUUUUAUUAUCUGGCCUCAAAUCAGGUAGGACUACCCGCUGAACUUAAGCAUAUCAAUAAGCGGAGGA